rnacentral:tRNA from 1 species
UAGAUUGUAGCUAAGUUUAAGCCCUUCACUUACAUUGAAGUAAUCAUUUUUUAAAAUGCUAUCUAA